AAUUGAUUUAAAAUUUAUAUUUAAUAUUUGAAAACAUGCAAAUCUGUGCAAUUACUUAAUUAACUGUGGCAUGCUCGCUCUUAGGGUUUAUCGGAUAUGUUUGGUAAGUUCACACACAACAUGUCGGCAUGCGAUGGCAAAAAAAGGAAAGGAAAAGUAAAAAACAAAAAAAAGAAGAAACAAUAUUAAAAGCUGAACCGGUCGCCAUUUUAAC